rnacentral:lncRNA from 1 species
AUAUCAAUAAGCAGGUUCUGAAAGAAUUCAGCAAAAACAUUCCCAUAUAUGAUUAAAAAGGCUGGAGAAAAGCUGCUUAAAAGUAAGGUACCAUUCACUGCUGCUAUAGUAAUUUACUUCACAGAGGCGGAUUGAGGGGGGCCAGGGGCCCCCCCUUUUGGGAAAAAAAUUUGCGUUGCUUAUAUGAGGGAAUCACUGAAGCUUGAUUAGAGCGGGCCCCCACUUAUGAAAAUUUCUGAUCCGCCACUGCUUCACUUGUCAGGCAUUGAAGAAAAGG